AGGCAAUUCGCAGGGGCCCGCCUGCUUCUGUGUGUGGUUUGCUGCAGCUGUCCUGGGGUGGGGACAGAGUGGUGCCCGCCCCAGGACACGGCAGGUGGUGCAGGUGGGUGGCUGUCUUCCCCGGGGUAGGGACCAGUCGGAGGGAAGAGGCUGAGAGAUUCGGGGCACCAGCCAGACAUCACGUGCCCACCUUUCCUGAGAGCAGCUGGUGGCCCUGGGUCCAGCUGUCUGGCCGGCACUGCUUUGAUAAUUAAUCAUUUUCUGUCCGGACUAUAAAUACCCCAGAGGUAAGUCUGUUCUGCCCCUGUCAGGCAACUUGUAGAAGUUAUCACUGAAUUAAAAUGAAUCGGCCACCUCCUUCUCUCGUGCAUCCCCGGCCUUCCCCAUCUCUUUUGUGUGGAUUCUCUCCGCUUCUCCCAGUGCUGGUCAGAGAGCAGAGCAGAAACCCCCCAUCCUUCUGGGGCAAAGGGAAAAUGAACGAGUCCUCUCUGUCUCUUCCGCUCAGAGCCUAGAGCUCUCAGAUGAUCUCCUGGGUCUCAGUUUUAUCAUCUUUUAAAUGGGAUCAUCGACUCUUCCUCUUCACAGGCUUCUUCACGGCCUCCUGGCCGAGUACCCACGUGACAAGAGGAAGAGUGCAGAGGGUGCCCGCAGUCCUGGCCUUGGGACAGACAGAGCUUCAGAGGGCUGGUCCAGUCGAGCAUAGGACCACAGUGACAGACUCACUUCUGCGGCUCAGCCUCCUUCUUCCUGCACCCUCGUGGCCCAUUUUGAGUAAGUGUCACCUGGUACGUGUAGCUAUUGCUUUGUUCCAGGAAAUAAAGAAUUGCUCUAAGGGGCAGGACCAAGAGGCCCAUGGGCAGUCUGGGUGCUGGUCCCCCGGGCUCCUCCCUCUUCCCAGGGGUUCAGUUCUGCUGUCCUGGCCCUGACCCCACCCAACCUGCACACAGGAGCCAGUGACAUGUCCCCUCAACCGCCCCUCUGCUGUUCCUCAAAAGCGCACAGAUUUAAUUUUCGACACAUGGGAAGAAAAUGUACUUCCUCAAACAGCCCCAGGGACGGGCCAAGAGGGAGCAAGCUAAUUAUCUCCCGUGUUUUCCUUCAGCGGGGAGUGGGCAGAAGGGACGGGAGAGAAGAAAUUGGCAGGGCCGAGAGCAGGUUCCAGACCGCAUCGUGGGGUUGCAGCGCUGGUACCCUGAGAAUUGGGGUGGGGCGGAAGUCCGGGGCCACAAGAACCUGUGCUCUCUGUCCCCAGAGCCCAGCAUCUGGAGGGAGUUGGCAGGACCCUGCUGCUCGGCCUCCUCCUUCCUGCAGUGCCAGGCAAUGCCACAGGUGGGGUCUUCAGGGCCAAGUCCACGGCAACAAGGCCCUGGUGAGCAGGUGCCACAGAGAGGCCACUGCUUGGGAGACAGGACCCCAUUCCUUCCAGGACCCAAACAGCAGGCCAGGAGAGAGGCCCCAGGAAAAGAGGCUCAGCCUCACGGAGCCAAGAUUCCCAGGAAAAGCGAUGGACACCGGGACGUGGAGACAUGACAGCUCAAACUUAGAGAAUCGGAAGAAGACAAUUCCACAGCCCGACACCUCCCUGUGACAGAUGCCUAAUUAAGACUGGACAGAAACAGGCAAGAGAGCCACUUAAUCCAGACUCUAUUUGCCUUGCUAAUUUAGGGGUGUGCGUGUGCGUGUGUGUGUGUGUGUGUGUGUGUGUGUGUGCAUGUGUGUUUUCCUGUUGGGUGAAGGUUUGUAAAAUCUUAAUGAGGUUGUGCAUAUUGGAACAGAGAUGGAAAGGCGUCCUCCCCUCCCCCUCCGUAAUGGUCUCACAUCCCUGGGGCCAUUAAAACUCCAUGCACAAGACUCUCCCUGUAGGGAAAGUGGCAAAGGGCCUCCUCUGUCUGUGGAUUCAGGGGAGGAGACCAAGUGUCUCAUUCAAUCACAGAUAGAUGGCUGGUGGCUUAGGCAGUUGAUGACUACUUCUUUUUUUUUUUUCUUCCUUAAAUGAAAACCUCAAAUUGGACUCAAAGCAGCUAUUUGUAAUGUCAGGAGCCGCUGGCAUUUAGAUAUCAAGCUCAUUGAAUUAAUUUUUAAUGACCUUUAAUGUGACAGGUCAGCAGGGGCAGAAGGAACACUCUGCUGUGUACACAGUAGGCAGUUGUUGGAACCAAAGGGAACAGGGGAGCAUGCCACCAGGGAGACCCCACCAUGAGCCCUUCCUCCUUCCCGACUCUGCCACCUGGCCUGGGUCCUGGGACUAGGGGACACUGCCUGCUCUCUCCGGCCUAUGUGAGGGGAACAGCUCUGCGAGGGAGGGACGGGCAGCGAGAAAGAGCCCUGCUGGCUUCGGUGCUACCUUGGGGUGAUUCAGAUGGUCACUCCCCAAAGUGGCCUCUUCAAAGCGCACUGACCCCGUGGGCAGUUUCAAGGGGCCCCGUUCAGCGCUGGCUCCCCUUCAGGGCAGUUGAGGUGUGUGCACCACCAGGAGGCAGCUAUCGGAUGAGGAGACCUCAGGGCUACGUCCAUCCACUUGGUCUCAUGCAAGGGUAAGGGGCUAUGUCACUGUGGGCUCCGGGAACCUGCAGCCUUUGCUAAGAGCCUGAAACCGUCAGGUGUCAGGUCCUGGGGCCAGGGGGUGAUGAGGCACCAGCCAGCCCGUCCCUGUCAGAGAGCAGGUCAAGGUGUCCCCUGGGUGAGACGGCAAUUUCACCCUUUCCCAUGCACACACUGGUCAGAUGCACGUCUAACUGGGGCCCGAGGUUCUACAUGGCUACCCAGGUCCCAGGUGACCCUGAGGUUCCUGGUCCGGGAGACCACGCUCUGAGUAGCCAGGGUCGAUAGUCCAGAAAGAUGACCCUGGGAGGGCCUCUCUCAGCAGCAUCACCCGGAGGCCUCAUUAAGACAUGAAUCGCUUCCUCCCAUCCCUAGACUUCCCAACUGAGCAGGUGUGAGGUGGAGAAGGAGCAUUUGCCUUUGUGACAGGAUUGAGGUGAAAAUGACGUCCAGAGACCACGCUUUUGGGAAUGGCUGGGACUCUGGGCCUGAGACCUGCACCAGAGGUGCUUAGAGUUGGACAAGGAAAAGAGGCAGGAAUCGGGAGCAAGAGUGGGUCACCACGUGGCCUUCCCUGUAUACUGUGAAUGGAGCUUUAAUGUCCCUGGGACGUGGAACACUGGGUGGGUGAGUGGGGGGCUCUUUCCAUGCAAAAAUCUUUAGCUCAAAACACCUUCUCCCUCCCAACCCUUUCUCUCCUCGGGAGGAGCACAGGGGAAGGGGAGGGCCGUCCAGCUUCUGCCUGGACAGGCAGCUGCUCAGCCCUCUUUGCCCAUUCCCACAAAACCUGGGGAGAUUUUAAAUGCUCAGGGGGCUUCUGCCUGUUCCUCCAGAUGCCGACUUAAUUGGUCUUAGGUGAUGCCUAGGACCAAUUUUUGUUUUUGUUUUUAAAUAAACUCCUCCAGAGCCACAGUUGAGAACCACUGGCCUAGACCCAAGUCUACUGUCAGCUGCGGCUUGUUGGGGAGUUGGGCAAAGGAUGUCCCCUCCCUUAUUCUCUGAACCUCCUUGCUACACGCCCCCCCACCCAACGCACGUAGCUGAAGUUCUGCGGAACACCUGGUCUGUUCUACUGAGAACGGGGCGACCUACUUUCUCUGCCUGUGGCUUCUCUUGCACAUGGGGACUCUGGGGACGGAGGGGCAGAUGGAAAUGUCAGCAUGUCUGUGUUGAUGCUGCAUUUGGGUGUCACCCAAGCGCUUGUUUCUCUGUCAGAUUCCGGAUGUGGCAUUUAGAUAGUGAACCGCUGCCGCCAGACUCUUGCUGGGGAGAUCAAAGCAUCCGGCAGCAUCCAGAGACGCCCUGGGGUCUGGCUGCCAAGAGCUGGCGGCUCUGGGCCACCGGCAGGACGGGGCUGGCACAGGGACUGUUUCGGCUGGAGGCGGACCACAGGCAGACAGAGCACCUGGGGAUUCUUCCCUCCUGUCGGGGCCCCUUCACCUGUAAGGCUGCUCUCCCAGCCGGGUGCCUACCUGUGCACGUCCAAGCACAUGGGACCUCGCCACACAGCCCUGACCCUGGUGGCUGCCUGUGGCUGUCACCACUCUCUGUCCCUCACUGUGAGGAGGGAUAGACCACAGAGGGCCAGCCAGCCGGCCGGAGGGGGCUCCAUCUAAAAUGGUCCCAUCGUGGGGAGCAGACACCAGGAAGUGGGUCCAGGACUGGGGACAGAGACCCCUCGUCCUCCUGCCUUCUGGCUUUACUGGAUCCAUUCCACUGUGGUCCCCGUGGGGUGGGGUGGGAUAUCUCCUAGCCUUGUGCUAUAGAAGGCCUUGGAUGUCCCACUGUGUCCCUGGGUGCCUCUGGGGCGUCUCGGGGGCUGGCAGACCAAGGACAGGCACAGGAGGAAUCGGCAAGGUGCACUGGCCUUGAGCACAGAUGGAGCACAGCGGUCCUUCUGGGAAGUGUCCCUGCUCACUGUGAGUCCUCAGCAGCUGCCCAAUGUCACCGGUGUUUAUUAACCUUUCCUGCACACAGCAAAGAACAUUGUGUCUCUCCAUGCAGGCUCUCAAGAAUUCCAAUUAUUCCGUGUUCUGGCCCCCACCCCCACUUUUUAGUAGGAGUCACUAUUAACAUCUCCCUGGUUGGAUUUCGGAAAGAACAGCCUGUCUCGUCUUGACAGGAGACUGGAGAGAACUGUGAGCACUGGGGUCCACUUGGUGCAGGAUCUGGCUCUGGCCGCUCCUCCUGGCCGUCUAUUCUUCCUGUUGACAAGGAGAGAGCAGGGUCUCACCCCUGCCCCUGUCCAAUGCCCCCACCAGUUCCCAAAUGUGAGAGGCUCCGGCCCUUCCAUUAGGACCCCUGCUCCCUGUUACUUUGGUGAUGCCAGACUUGGGGUCUUUUUCCAGCCUCUGUCCCCCUCUCUUCCUGCUCAGAGGGCAGGGGAGAAGGGUCUUAACAGGAAAGUGACUACUCUGUGUACCCUCGGUAUGCCCCGGUCAGCAAGGGGGACCCGGAGAGCGCCCCUCCCAGCAAUUGGGAAGGCUCCAGUUUGUCCCCAGGGGUGUUCCUGUGAAUCUGACGUCCCACAGGAAGUCAUCCUGCAGGCAGGCUGGGCUGGGCAUGGCUGGGUCCCUCCAGCCCCUGAAGGGCUUGAAGCCUCAGACGCAGGAGCAGGGAUCAGGUGGGAGCUGAAAAGUGAGCUUCUCCAAGCAUGGAACUAGGGAGAGGCUUCGGGGCCCCCACCCCUGGAAGCUCCUCAACAAAGCUUCCACCUCUUGCCCCUCAGCGUAGAGCCAGGGAAGAGGGGAUGGCCAUGGCGGUGUGACCUGUGGCCCCUCCCAGCUCCCCAGCUGGCCCUGGCACCGCCAGCCUAACUCCGCCGCCCCCACCUGCUCUCUGGCUCCCUGCUUGCUCUCUGGGCUCAGGCUUCCAAGGGUGGCUCGAAGGCCACGCCCCCUGUGUGGCCUGGAUACCUUCCACCUGCCUCCCCGGCCCCGCCCACCAGCCCAAGGAGGAAGUAAUCUUCCUCCUGGGAGUUCUUGGAACACUUUCUCUGCACUUUGUGGCGGCAGGCAUCAAUUUCUGCUCCUUACCCCAGUUUCCCACCUGCAUCUCUUAUAUCACCUCCGAGUUGGCAAGCUCCUUAAUGACAGGAGUCAUAGCUCAUCCUCCUUUAUGGCCACACUGCACCCAGCGCUGCAAAUGUAGAUUGAAUGAUAAGAAGCUCAACCUAGCGACAUUCUGGGGAUACGUGUCAUCAUGAGAAGGUCGUUCAUUUCUGCUUUGUUCCUGAAGUGGGGGGCAUCUCCUAGUUCCAGGGAAGACAGAGGGAAGACUCAUCCCUCUGAGGUGUCAACUGGUGGACAGCCAUUUCUGGGGUUGUUUGGAGCUCCACCCAUGGGCAGGCCCCGCUGGACAUCACUUUCCACCUCCCAGUCUCCUCCUGAUGCCCCACUUAGUCCAGCCUUAUUGGUGUUGGGAGUCCCACCUUGACACCUUCUUGAUUCUCACGGAACCUCCCGAUGCCACCUCUUGACUGUCCCAGACCUGCUCUUCUUUCUUUGUAAAUCUUUAAUCAGAUGCAUUUCUUUUUUGCUUCUUGUCACUCGGUUUCCGGCCACUCUGUCCACACCCUGCACGCUGUUUCCACUUGAGCGUCCACAAUAUUUGUAACCUUCAGUGCUUAAGGCCACGUGCCUCUGCCAAGCAACCUUUCAGGAUUUCUUUGGUAAAACUCACUCCUUCUUCCUCAGUGGAAUCCCACAGCCAUUGGUUCAUCUGCCUGGUAGUAUAGUUUUUGUAUUAGUUAGGAUAAAAGACUAAGCUGCUGUGAUAUCAUUGUUUAAGCAACAAUAUGGUGGUUUAAAUAACAAAGUGUAUUUUUUCUCUCUCUCUCUCGUUUUUCUUUCUUUCUUUCUCUCUUUCUUUCUUUACUGUUGAACUCAAAUCUACAUCCCAACUCUUUUAAUUUUGAGACAGGAUCUCUCUAGGUUGCUUAGGCCUCACUAAGUUGCUGAAGCUGACCUCAAACUUUCUGUCCUCCUGCCUCAGCCUCCUAAAUUACUGGGAUUAUGGACAUAUGCCACGGUGCCUGGCCUGCAUUUCUCUUUUACCAAGAUUUGUGUUGGAUUGGUGGGGCCACUUGUCAUUUGUGGUCAUCUGGAGACCAGAUGAAUCCGCUCUGUUGUUCUGCCCUCUCCUAGGCGGUAUAAUCAGAGACAGUUGAAGCUAGGUUGAAAGGGUGCAAGUUCAGCCGGUAGGAAGAAAAAAAGAGCUGGCAGAAGUCACCCUGGAUGGUGUUCACCAUCACGAUGGUCUGGUCUCUGUGGUAAUCGUGUCACGUAACAAAUAGAGCCAACAGCCCCAAACUGACAGAGCUCUACAGACGUUUCCUGCCCCUUGGUUAUUUAACAAGCACUAACCUAGGUGCUGCUGAGAAGGGACCUUGCAGAGGCAUUUAGGGUUCUGAAUUAGCUGCUCUCAUGAUUGGCAGCUCAUCUUGGAUUCUCCAGGUGGACCCAGUGUCAUUGCACAAGCCCUUCAAAUCAGGCAGGAAGCAGGAGAGGAGGGAAAGGCAUGUGUCUUCACCAUGCCGCUGCCGAUUCUGAGACACACAGGUCACUUGCAAGGACACCAGUGAAGCCUCUAGAUGUGGAGGACAGUCCCAGUGAUGACCGUCUGGGAAAUGAGAACCUCAGUCCUACAACCACUAGGAACCUGAACUGGCCAGUGACGUGAAUGAGCUUGGCAGCAGGUCCUCCCCUAGCCUCGAGGAGCCGGUCAGCAGCCCCCCUGAGUGUGUCCUUGGAGCCAAGCCAGACCCCUGCAGUUGAAAUCAUAGAGGUGUUUUGGGAUUCAGCCACUCAGUUUGUGGAAGACCAAGGCAGAGGUCCCCACGACUCCCUGUCUCAGGUCUGUGGCCUGCAGGUUGGCUGGGAUUUGGCCAACUCAGCCGGCCAGGCUGCACCGCAGGCUCCCAGGAGGCUAGCGUCUCAUCCAGCAUCUUCAUUUAUUUAGUGUGUUGGUCACAUGGCAGUGACAGAGGCACUGGAGGCCACAUCACACCCCAGGAACAGGCUAAGCCUCCCUUGCAUCUUGGCAACCAACCAUUGUCCCAAACAAGUCUUGAGGUCACGCCCAGCACUGGGGGAGGGGGCAGUGUGCUAACCUGCGCUGGGGGAAGGCCUGCUACCUGACCCGCAGUCUGGUGUAGGAUUCUGCUAGAGGAGGGUAUGGACAUGAGGCCACCGUCCACUCGCCCACACUUCCCAUCCCGCUGUCUUCUCCGAGGCAUAACGCCUGCUCUUUGUGUUCCUUUACUGUUGUGUGUGUAUGUGCACGGGUACACACGUGUGUGCCUCACACUAGAGCGUGCACUCCAUGAAGGUAGGAAGAGCUGCCUCUUUUGCCUCCUGAGUCUUAAGCACAGACCUGGGAUGUCACAGGAGGUCAAUAUGUACUUGUUGAGUAAAGCAGUGAUGUUAGCUGGGACCCACCGUGUCUUCCCCGUGGGCUGCACGUGAUUCAUUUUGUGUAGGAAAAGCACCCCCACACCCUGUGACAUGGACGGAAAGCUCAUCACAGCACAAAAAGCAAAACCUACUCCCAGCCUGAUAUGGAGCCUCCGAUGGUCUCCAGGAGUUGCAGGAAAUUGUAAAAAUAAAAUUGUAAAAAUUCCCCCCCCAAAAAAAUUAGGCUGUGAUAACAACGCUCCCCACCCCCAGGCUGGCUGUUGGUUGGUGGGGGGGGGGCCCAGGUCUAUAAAUUCAAACCGCAGGGCAUGCCAAUCCCCAGAGGCUUCACUCCUGAAGCUAAAAUAAUAAUUCUGGGCUUUGGCAGGAUUUUCUGGAUCCCACCCGGCUUUUCUUGAGCAUGGAGGACUGGCCGUCCCUGCCAAAUGGAACCACCUCGGGAGAGCUGGCCAGGGCUGUCAGCGCCUCUCCUUUCAGUCGGCUGAUUGGCGGAGUCAACUGGUGUUUGUGGGGUGCCGGGCCCAGCCUCGGUUAACCCCUUCAGACAUCUAAAGACGCCUGAGAUGCACGGUGGCAUGGGAGGCGGGGGUCUGGAUGCAGGAGCUCACACAAGACGAGAAAGGGGCGGGGACACCCUCCAUCCCAGGUCUUGAGGGAAUCGCCACCCUGGGGGCACAGGGGUCCUCCUAGAACCCGUCCUCACCUCCAUUGCAAUGUUAUCAAACAUAUCCAUUCUCUGUCAGUAAUGGUCAUCACCAUCACCACCAACCACUGCGAUAUAAUUAAUAUUUACCUGUGAUUAUUAUCAAUAUUUAUUAGUAAUGAAUAUUAAUCAUGGGAGUCUCAUAAAUAAAUAUUAAUAGUAUUAACAUCAAAUAUUUAUUACGUUUAUUAUGCACCAGGAGUCCAUUGUUAUGCACCCUAGUGUAGGUGGUAGGAUGAUCCCCACUUGACAGACAGGGAAACUGAGGCAGAUUCAGGAUCUUGCCCAAGGACACCUUGCAGAGUGUUGGAGGGGGGCCUGGCUGACUGACACUGGCUCUAUGCUACACAGUGUCUGAGAGAGCAGGUAUUAUGCUUUCAUUUAAAAUGCUGCAUUCAUUGAGUGCUUGUCUCACUCACUCAGAGUAAGAAGAGGAGCAGGAGGGCAGGGCGCCAGUGGACCCGGGAUCAGAGAGGCCCUGACCUCCCUGAGAUGGAAGGUGGUGGGGGCGGGGGCGAUGGUACAGGCACUUGUAUUAAAAUGCAAAUUUCUGCCUUGCUUGCUGGUUUAUCAUCUGACUCGUUAUACAAUUUGCCAGUUAUAGAAGAAAAAUUACCAUAAUGGGGCCCCAGGGAAUGGUUGUAAAAAGGAGACCAAACGUUACUUAUCGGCCGUUCCACUACAAUUAUCUUACACGUUUGUUCUUUUCCUCCUCAGAAAAAUGAAACCGUCAAUGCCAGGGACAAGGUGCUGACCAGGGUGCUGACCAGGCAGGAGACAGCCCAGCGGCUAUGUCUUUGAUCCGCUCCUCCCUCCUCUCCCUACCUGCCCCAGCUGGGGCCACCGCGGCUACCUUCCUUGGGCAGCUCCCUCCGCAGGACAGGCUGGCUGGGCGUUUUCCAAGCAGGAAAAGAGAGAGGGUUCUGCAGGUGGGAGUUCAGAGUCUCCUGCGUCUUACUGGCCCAGGCUGGGCAGGAUCUCCUCUCCUGGGGGCUUGAUGUGGAGGUGGGGCAGCUCAGGAGGUCCCAUGGAGCAUCACUCCUCAGCCUCAGCAGGUACCGGGCAGGUAGGUGGGACUCAGGUAGGCUGCAGGUAGCCGGACUUCUGCAAGGAGGCAGCCGCUGUGUGGGGCAUUCCUCUGGGCCACCGUACCCGGAGGACUCACGCUCCUAGAUACCUUUCCAACCUGUACCUGCCGCCCCACCCAGAGCAUCUUCCUGCAGAGCCUCACUGUGGGCUCCUUGCAGGGGGAGGGUGAGUCUUUCCACUUGAUUCUUUCAGUAUCUACCGAGUACUUGGAACCUAAUAAGAAGGAGAUAAAUAUUUGAUGAAUGAAUGAAAGUUUCUGUCCCUGAGAGUGUGUGUGUAUGUGCGUUUCCAGGUUUUCCUAAGGUUGUCUCCCCCAGGGGCUGGCUGCUUUUAGGUCCAGCCAAAUCUUUCCCAAGUCCUCAGGCCCUUGAUGAUUUCUCACUUCUAUAAUCAGCAUGUUAAGAGAGCCGGGGAGCGGGCACUGACGCGCUGCAGGUGGCCCGUGCACGCUGUUUAGUAUUUAUAUGGGCUUCUCUAUCAUUCUUUCCCACUCCACCGUGGACUUAGAACUUCUUUUGUUUUAGACCCCAAGGCACCUCUUCCCCAUUGAUUUCUGCCACCAUAUCAAAGGUAAAUCCUCAAUGCUGCCAAGUUAAAUUUACCAACGACAAACUCAAAGCCAUGCACCAAGUGCUGGGGAAGCGUGCCUAGCAGGGAGCCUCCACCUCCAGUUUCUCAGGCUCAAUGCCAAGAAAUGAACCAGGCACGACUGUCGUAGAAGCCAUGCUCAAGCUGGGGGGAGCCACACGGUGGCACCUGGAGCCAGGGCGCUCGGGGAGCAGUUUGAUCUCUGGCUGUCUACACCUGUUUGUGGCAAAACCAGCCGGUAUUCCCGUUCUGGAUGGCAGGCCUGGCUGGCGCCCCCCAGAGGGGCGUAGCAUUCCCUGUACCUCUAAGGCUUUUGGCUAAUGGCAUGGGCAUCUCCCAUGGCCUGCAGUUUCCUUUCCCAAGAGGGUAUGAGAGUUUGAGGAGCGAGGUGCUGUGGUCUCCAUGGAUCUCUAGAGCAGGGGUUGGCAAACUAGGGCUAGGGACAGCCAGCCGUUUCUUUUCACAGUCUACAAACUGAGAACGCUUUUUACUUUUUCAAGUGGUGGAGGGGGGAAGCCAAAAGAAUGUUAUUUCAUGACUCAUGACGAUGAAAUCAGAUUCAUGUGUCCGUGUCCAUAGAUAAGGUUUUCUUGGAGCCCAGCCACGCCCAUUCCUGUGUGUGAGGCCCAGGGGGGCAUCGGUACCAACAACCGCAGAGGUGGAGAUUUGUGAUAAAUGCGCAGGGCCCUCAAAGCCUGUAGGACUUGCCGUCUAACUCUUUACAGAAAACAUUCGCCAACACUGCUCUAGAGCCCAGACUGCCCCCUUGGACCCGUCCCAUCUCCCACAGUGGCACCGAGUCAUCUGGCCAUCAUGGGAAACACUCCUGUGUGGAGGGAGAUUCUCUCCCACACUAACCUCCAUGUUUUCACUGAAGGAGGGCAGGGCCAAAGGAGAAGCUGGAAGGCAGUAGUGACGGGUGAUAAAAGUCCAUGUGGUCUAGCUCACGUCACCCUAACUUCUCUCUGGGCUCCCCGCCUUCCCUCUGGAAGCUGUGCUGCUGGGGAACGUUGGGGAAGCUCAGACAUGCAGGUUUCCCACGCUGAACUGGGGGGGACUCAAGGUGCUCCACGUGACUGUACCUUGGGCACCUUGUCCUUAUCAGACAGACAUCUCCCCUUUUUUUUGUUCUGUUAUGUAAUCAUAACAACGAACAUAUGACAUUAAAUACCAAGUAACAGACAUUUAUUUAGCAUCUACCAUGGACAAGGGUUGCAUUACACCAAGGAGAUGUGGGGCCGUCAAUACGGCCAGGGCCUGCGCUCAGAGAGUUUUCACGCCACGUUGUCUUCGUGCGCACAGCUGGUUCCCAGGAACUCACACGCUGCCUCCCACUGCUGUCCGCCCAUGACUCUCCCCACGCCCACCUUAUGGAAGACAAAAAUUACCCCCCUUUACAGAAGAGGUGACCAAGCUCAGCACCCUGGCCCCUUGCCCUAGUGGGGGUCUCUGGAUCUGCUGGCUGACCCGCUGCACAACAUCUUCUGCAGAAAAACCAAAGAACAGGAAGAGAUGGUGCUAGGGGUGCUCUGUUGACGCUGCGUAGCAGAAGGGAAAGGGAAGGGUGGGCAGGCUUAGCGGGGAAAGAGCCUCCCGUGAAUUCUUGGGGACCACUCAAGGAGGAAGUUUUCUAAGCUCUCUGGCCUCCUGGGAGCUAUGCCUCACUUUGAGCUGAGCAGGUGGAUACCAAAGAAGGGCAGAGAUGGACUCGUUCUGUUCUGCCUUGAAUUAUUCCCUGGCCUAACUGUCCUUCUACCCUGGGUUAUAAACACCUUGGUGACUGGGACAAUCUCUCAGUUUCUCUUAGAUCUCUCAAGCAGACAAAUAUGAAGUGCCUACUGUAUGCCAGACAGAAUGCUAGCCGCGAGACGCAGGGCUGUGUAGGAUAGGUGUUUAGGAAUUGCUUAUUAUAUAACCGAGUCUCUGCAGAUUUAGCUCACACCAAUGCCAGGGUUUCGAUAGGAGCUUCCAGGAGAUGCCAGAGUCCUUGAAAAGAGAGGUGAGGUGACACAGGUCUGUGGCGUAACGGCCCUGCCCCCUUUGCCCGCUCCACCUGCAUCUCUGCCCCCAAACGGCUCUUCUCCUUCACCUGUUGUCACUGGGUCCAUGUCAGAGUCCCUGUUUGUUCCCAAGUCCAGGUCUUAGAAAUCACUAAGAGGUAGAGUUUUUCCUCCACUCUCCUUCUCUAGCUCCUGUCCUGGACUCUCUCUUUAGUUCUAAAGUCAUUCCCAUACUCAGUUCCCUUGGUCACUUACUUUCGGUUAAAAUCAAAUGGUCUCCAAAGACAAAGACUUCAGGUGUUACUGGAGUGCAGCACCCUUUCCCUGACCCUCAGGUGUGGGCAGGUGAGGAUGUCAUGCCAGGGGGAGAGGAGCCGGCUUCCUUCCCUCGACCCCUGAGAGCUACCUCCUGUGUGGGUUCUGCCGUUAAAGUCUCCAGGCUGCCCCUCCUGGGCCCGCUAGGCCAGGCCAGGGGCGUGCAGGGCAUGGGACCGAAUGCCCUCCGAGGCAGCACUCAGGGUUGGCAAAGGAAACACCCAGGCGACCAGUGGGGGGCCGCCCUCUGAAGUUCUCAGGCCUUCUUUCACCUUUGUCCCAGGAUGGGACAGGUGGUGACAUCCUCUUGGUAACUGUCAUCAGGAGCCAUCACCUCCAACGCUGUGCUCCUCCAGGUAGGACCGAGGGGUGAAGGCCAGGGACUCAUUACUGAGUUCCAGGUUCCCAUCUGAGGGUGCACUGCCUCCUUGGACAAUUGACAGUGGCUGACCUUGACCUUCCAUACCGAGAUGUGGCCUUCAAAUACGAAAACUCGAUAGGACAAACUCUCAGAAGGCCACCAAGUCAACCCAAUAGCAUUCCAAGAGAUGUGCACAAACCGCAGGUGCCAUUUUAUCAUUGGUCAUCUCAGGAGUUUGGGGUGCUGCAGGUCUCCACAAGGAACCUCAUAUUCAAAGGAUGUACCUGCUGCCUCCGCCUCUAGGAAGCCUCUGUCCCCUCCUCUUUGCAGUCCACCAAGUUGUCAAAGUGCAACUUGUUCUCCAAUGUCCUACUACCUGGUAGGCAGAGGAGGCCUUGCUGACCCUGAGAAAGGAACAGACUCUUUGCAGUUCUCAAAGUCACUCCACAGAGGCCCCUAAGUGGAGCUUCGGGGGAACACGUGAAAUUGCUCACAACUAAUCCACCUAUCUGUCUUGACCCCCGCGGUGCAGACUCCGUCACCUACGCUGGCCUUUGGGAUCCAUGAGAUUCUGCACCUGUGAAUCUGGAAGGGUCUAAGUGUACACUACUGUGCCCAGGAGGAAAGAAAGCAGAGUGCCUUAAUGUCACACUUGGGGCCCAUCAUUCUUUGUGGUAGGGCUGUCCCUACCACAUUGUGGCCUCCUCCAGGUGUGACAACCCAAAGUGAGAAAUUGUUGAUGCAUUUGCUAGCAGCAACCCCUCCCUGGGGUGCGAUAACCAAAGUGUCUCCAGACAUGGCCAAAUGUCCCUCAGGGAGACAAGAUAUCCUGAAGACAAGAUCUUCUAACCAAAAAUGGUUAGAAGAUUUCAUGGAUUUCCAAUGCGUGGCUGUGCCACAAAAGCUCCCUGCGGCUGCCCGCCCUUGACCUUGGACAGCUGCGUUCCACAUGAGCCCUCAGUGUCUGCCCUGUCUGUCCCCCAUGUCCCCCCACCACGCACCUUCCCAGGCCUCUUGGUCCCAUCCCGGCAGACUCCACAGGAGACCACCCGGGCCUCAGCUCCGGGAAGCCUGGGGAGGAGUGUAGGCCAGCAGCUGAUGAAGGAUUCAAAGUGCCAAGUGGGAAGGAACCUGGGGCUGAGCGGGAGCAGGUUAGCUGGGGGCUGCGAUGGCCAAGACCACAGGAUGCCAGUCCUGGGGGAGGUGGGCUUCCCCGGGAGGACCUGGGAGGGGAUGGCAUUUGUAGACAUUGGCAGCGUAAAAUCGAUGGGUCUCCUUCAUCUUUCUGAAGCCUGGACUAGUCGAUCAACGGCGAAUGGCUUGGCCUCUUAGAAGCAUCAGCCGUUGGCUCCGGGUAGGGCGUGCCCUUGCUUUUCUCUUCCUAGCUGGGCGCUUUCUCCUGCGCAUGGGUGUGGAUGGUCAGACUCUGCCCCCCCAAGGACCAAAUGCAAGUAGGAGAGAGUCAGCCACUAGAAAGAUCCGAAGGCUUUAGUUUGUGAAAAAAAGUUCAGAAUAUUGUAUCAAGGGAGAGAGAGAGUGUGUGGAGUGUGGCCCUCUCCAUGCUUUAUAAUGUGACAUAUAUGUCACACACACACACACACAUACACACAGACACAGACACACACACCCCUCCAUGCUCAUGUGCCAAAAUAUCAAGUGUUUCCCUCUGGUGGUGGAGGACGUGACUUUAGUUUUGUUUUAUACGCUUCUCUGCAUGUUUCGGGUUUUCUGCAGUCAUUACUGUUAUAACAUUUUCAGUGUUCUUUAUUCAUAUUACAUUUGAUGCUUGCAGGGCCUAGGAAGGACAGCCCAUGUCUUUUCUGGAGGGAAUGUAACUUUAGGGCAGCUGAACUUGCAAUGGGACGGGGCGAAGACCAGCCUAAUUAUUUGGGGCCCAGUUUCCUGUAACCCCCACCCCACAGCCGUGCCUCCUGGGUGCCAGCAGGUGUGUCUCCACUUACAUCUGGGGACAUCUGGAGGCCCAGAGUUCAGUGCCCAAGGGCUGGAGUAGUCAGCCCCUUGCAAAGCUGUGGUCACCUGCCAGGUGUCCGCCACAUGCCCUGGCCAGCUGCAGAGGAGAAACCCGGUGGUGCAGUGGAGGAACCCCCACCUGCUAGGCCAGCCCUGCAGGUAGGGGUGGGAGCGGUCGAGGAGGGUCUCAGGCAGGCUCUGGACGUUCUGCACACCCCUUAUCCAGUGCUCCUCCCUCCCACUUAUUCCUCAUUUUACUUAGAUCUGUUCUUAACAAAAUGUUUCCCACUCAGAAUGACUUUAAGAACCCCCUCGUAGGACAUGUCCAAGCCAGCCAGCGCUUCUGGAGUAGCCGUCGUCUACGAUAAGCACCCCAACUGCCAGGCAGACAUGGGGAGAAGCCGGGAAUGAUAAGACAUGGUCUCUGGCCUGUGGGAGCCUCUGGUUUGCAGGCUCCAUGAGUUACAGACAGAGGUGUCCCCAGUUGUGAUAAAACUGCAGAGAGAGGAGGUUAUAGGUAGUUCCACUUGGGAAAAUCCAGGGUGACUUCCUGGUGGAAGUGCCAUUUUGAAGCACAAGGAGGGUUUCCUUGGGUCCUGGGAGCAGUUCUGGAAGGAAGCAGCAAGGCCUGUGAUGGCCCUUCACCAGAGGCCUAGGAAGGUUCUCUGGGUGGUUCUCAGCCUCUCCCGGACGGCUCGGGGCCAGGCAGCCAGGGUCCCUCCCACAUGGCCAUAGCCACAUAGCCCACCCAGCACAGCCUCCCUCCCCUCUCUCCAGCGCCUGACCAGGCAGGCAGGAGGCCGAGGCUCACCAGCCUUCCUCAGGCUCCUCUGCCAGGCACUGUGUGUACGGGGCGAUUCACAAGCUUGGAAUUCACGAUUUCGUCCGAGUGGGGAGGGCGUUCAGCUUUGCCUCUGAAAUCCGGUUCAUAAGCAAAUUAUUUCAGUAAAUAAAUUUCAAGGCCAGCUGCCUGCCCUACUGCAGCAAGUCCUUGUUCCAGGCAAGGGCACUCCAGAGAGGGGGACAGUGACAAGCAGAGGCUGCACGGCACUGCUUUGGGAGUGUUGCAGUGGCCUUCUGGGGAGCUCAUUCGGGAGGAGUGAGCUGGUCCCUGCCUGGGCUUCCCGGGUGUGCGUGGGCUGGGGCAGGUCUAGACUAACCUCCAGGCUACUCCCCAUCACGCUAGGGGCUGAAGGAGGCCUGGUCUGGGCGUGCAUGCGCCUGCCCUCCCUAUCCCCAGUCUCCGCCUGCUUUUGAAUCCUGGUUCUCCUACUUCCUGGCCGUGGGGCCGUGGGCAGGUCAUCUGCCUUCCCACAGCCUUGCUGACGGCCAAUUCUGACGUUUGCUGAAUUGCUGGAAUCGUGCUUAGCACUUCUCCAACAUCAGCCAUUAUUAUUUCCACUUUGCAGAUGAGGAAAGCAAGGCAGGGAGCAAGCUGGAGCGAGAGGUGUUAAGCUACGUGCCCGGUGCCCAAGGCCAUUAGCUCCCGGGUGCAGGGAGCACAGGGAUUAAACAGUGGCCGGGUGCCAGCUCCUGGCAGGGGAAGCACUUGAUAAAUGGUUGCUAUCAGGCUUGUUACACCGCCUCAGGCUCCCUGCCCAUCCCUCUCCCAGCCAGGCGGACUCCUUGGGAAAGCAGGGCCCAGCAGAGCCUGGGGGAGGGUGGGAGCCCGGAGCAAUCUGUCCCUCCCAGGAGGCUGCCCAGGGGGGGCCUGGGGGCUCAGGACCAGGACCUGGAGGGGAAGUGUUCUUCCUCCCAGCACAGCCCUGAUUGGAGCCAUUUACAUCUCAAACCCCAACUUAGAAAACCACAAUCCAUCAGCCAGCGAUGGUGUAAAUUGCUUUGCUAAAUAUAUUUCUGGGUACAUGGUAAGUAAAAAUAUCAUGAAUUUAAUAAGCCUUGGAAUUCACAUUUUUCCAAUCCUAAUUAAGUUUCUCCUCUGUGUCGACGUGCUCCUCUCCUCGGCGAGGCUGGGAAGGGAAGGGAAGGCGGCUCACGUUGGCGGCUGAGUCCAGGCGGGUGCUCCGCAUCCAUGACUGCAUUUCCUCUCCCAGCAGUCCAGGCGGCCAGGGUCAUCAUGCCCACUUCACUGAGGACACUGAGUCUUGGGGAGGGUCACUGCUCUGUCGAGGGCUAUGACCAGGAGCCAGGAACAGGAUUUGAAUCCAGUUCCGGCUUCCUCUUUCUAUUGGACACCGCCCUCCUCACCACACACACACACACACACACACACACACACACACACAUAUACAUUGGUUCCUAAAUAGGUCAGCAGAGUGGCCCUUCUGUCCUCAGGUCUGGCCACAGCUUGGCUCUUCCCACAGGGGCCUAACCUGGGCCACUGGUCCCCUUUACAGCUGUGUGCUCGUCACAUGUUCACUCACGAGCCCCUGAGUUGCCAUGAACACACCUUGCACCUACCUAUACAGGCUACAAUAAAGACCCCCGGUGUUGAUGGCAGGAGGUGGCUGGCUCUCUAUCCAGAACAGCUGCCCGGGGGGUGGGGGUGCUGUUUGCCUUUGUCAUGGUUAAUUCUAUAUGUCAGCUCGGCUGGGCCACAGUGCCUAGAUUUCUGGUCAAGUAUCAUUCUGGCUGUUUGGGUGGAGGUGCGGUUUUGGGUGAGAUUAACACAUCAGUGGACUGUGAGCAAAGCAGAUGACCCUCCUCAGGAUGGUGGGCCUCAUCCAAUCAGCUGAAAGCCCGGAGAGAAGAAAGAGUGACUCCCCAGAGCAAGGGGAAUUCUGUCGGUGCAGCCUUGGAACUCAGAGUGCGCCCCUGCCUGGGUACCUAGCUUCGAGACCCAUCCUGCAGAUUUCGGACUUGCCACCUCCAUAAUCUUGGGAGCCAGUCCUUGGGAUACAUCUCUGCACGCAAGCCCACGUCCUGUUGGAGAGGCCCAGUACGGAAGCCCUGCGCCCAGCCUUCUGCCCACCAGGAACCCCCUCGAGGCCCUGGCAAACAAGGGCUCCAAGAGUUUGGUGACUCGCCUCCUGUCCUGACAGAGCGACGGAAAGCUUGGGAGUGAGUCAGAGAGGAGUUAGCAUUUCUAGGCGGAUGUGUGGCUGCUCCUGUGGGCGUGUUUCUUCUGUCAUACGGUGGAGAGAAACACCUUUCCCGCGGUGUGUGAGGGCUAGACAGGACGGGGUCUGCCGAGCAUUCAGAGAAUGGAAGCCACCCGGAGAGGCAGAGCAGAAGUGAACCCAGGAGUGCCUGUGGCUGCUGGCCCCUGCGUCUGAGCCCCAGGUUCCUGGGCUCACCCCUGGGCUCCUGGGAAGGUGGGCCCCUCCAGGUGGCAGGGGGCUGCCAGGGCCCCUCCUCUCUUCCUGGGAGACAGGCAGGGAGGGGCGGCUUUCCGCCCUCUGUCACCAGGUCCGCGGUGAUGCUGCUGUGUAACUGUCCACAGAACAUUAGUCGCACAUUACAGGGUUAUGUUCCAUAGCGCCGUGGGUUCCCCAGACGCUCGGGAUUCCAGAGCGCUGCCUGCAGGCCCCCGGGGAGGGGCCAGGCAGGAAGCUGUGCCCCCUGAGCCCGUCCCCUCGGGCCUGGGGCUGCUGCACAAGUCCACCUUUCAGGAGGCUCCCAAACUUGGGGCAAGCCCCCCGCCCCCCAGGUCCUGAUGUCCCCUGCACUCCCUGAAAGACCCUGAGCUGCCAGGAGGGCAGGAAGCCAGGCCAGGGCUCAGGUGCCCGCAGAUGCAGGUACUGUGAGCCCGGGGCGUCCUCGGUUGACCCGUCCCCCCGGGCCUGGUCUUCAGGGUCUGUCCUCUCUGCUUACAAUGCCCUGGACUCCACGGCUCAUCCUCGACUUGGCCUCUGUCCCCGCAGGGCUGCGCUGCCUAGGGCCCUGUCCUCCUCACUCUGGGCUGCAGCCCUUCCUCCCCGCCCAGUGCCCCCUGCUGCAGGCCUCGCCCUCUGGCCUUUCCCCUGCAGUUCUCGGCCUGGCACGGGUGACUUGUCCCUGCUCCGACUCAGGGCACCCCCUCUCCAUCUGAGCCCGACAGCAGGCUGAGGGGGGACCUGCAUCAGGUUUGAGGAGCUGCCCACCCCCCUGCCACGCCCACAGGGCUCAGGGAGCUGCUCAGGAGUGGCCGCGGGUGUGGGCCGCAGAGCCAGCCCUGCACUUCCUGUCUGAUCUGGGGGUGGGGGGAGCUGCCC
rnacentral:lncRNA from 1 species